rnacentral:tRNA from 1 species
AAGACACUAGUAAAGUAAAUUACACUGCCUUGUCAAGGCAGAGUCGUGGGCUAAAUCCCCACGUGUCUUG